GCUGGAAAUUCGGCAGUGUCCCUGCUCUGAGGAUCGCCCCCUAAAUGCCUUUUAAAGGUGGAUGUUGUAAGAGGGAAAAAAAAAAAAAGCCCAUCCACAUUCCUCUCAGUCACCUGACCAUCCCCCUGCUUAGAUUUCACUGGACUGAGUCACUUGCAGCCCUGGGAGAAUCUCAGCACUUGACUAACAAAGUUAUUGGCCACAGAUUCUAGAAGCCUGUUGAAUUAGUCAAAAGGCUAUAGCAGAAUUCACAUCCAGAAGGUUCUAGAAUCCAAUGGAAGUGGCCUUUAGCCAGGGGAGACUGGGAAGACAGGUAUCAAAGGCAAUCGAGGCUGGGGAUGCUCAGAAUGCCCGGGACCUAUUAAAGCGCCAGGAAGUGAUGGCUAGUCACAUGACUUCUACCCACUGUUGUCCAACGUCUCUGUGGUUACUCAGCCCUCUUAUGGCAACUGGGGAGGAACAAAGCCACAGAUUAAAGACUCCGGAGGGAGGUCACACUCAGAGAACUGUGAGAAGAACUUGCCCCCCAAGCCAGCCAGUCAAGGGACCGAGAAAGACUGAGCGACGACUCCGGGGUGUGGCUCAGUGCGAGCGUGCCUGAAGUAUGCCAGGGCACGGGCUCUAUCCCCAGCGCCCACAUGAAAAGGAGGCAGAGAGAGAAGAAAUGAGUUACUUACUGGGAGUCCAGG